GGCUCUCUGUCUGAUAUUUCAGUGCUUUUCAUCGAGUAUCAGACCUCUUUGCUUCCACACCUUCCAUUCCCUUUACACAGUGCUGAUUUCUCUCUGGUUAUUGCUCUGCUUCCCAAAACCAAGAGCUACAAAAGCUUCUAUUCACAGGUCCUGCCAGCUUGGCGUAAGUCAGACUCUGGGCUGAGAGUGCAGCACGUCCUCAGCGAUCAGCUGAGCCCUGAGCACAAGAGCAUGUGAGUUAACACUUCAUUCUGCAUCAGCCCAGCCAACAAUAUGUAGCCUGAUUUGUUAAGAACUUUUUGUGCUUGAGCCCCGAGGUAUCAUGAUGUGGCACAUAAAUGUAUCCAGUGACGUGUUUCUUCUCAGGUACUCCAGGCUUUUAAAGCUUCAUGAGAUACAUACACCAGCGGCAAACAGCCAAAGAGCUGUUCUGAAGACUGCUUAUCCACAGCUGCCAGAGCAUGACAGGUAACACACAUAUACACACUUCCACCCUGUCCUAACUAGGGAUGACGUGACAGAAUGUCUCUUUUUUUUUUUGAGUUUUUGACCUAACCAGCUAUGACUAUGACAAGCAACAAGACAGUUUGCCAAUUGCUUGGUUUCUGUCUGUCAGUGGGGUCCAGAUUUCUGAGCCCACUAUUGAAAAUGGUGCUGUCAUGCGUUGAAUAUGCUGCUCUGCUCAUGCACGUUGAUGACUAUCACAUUUUCUCCUCAGGUUCCAACAGCAUUUUGCUAUCAGCAGCAGCGUGGGUGAAGAAUCUGUCUGUAGCGACCACUUGUCUACUGUGUUUUCAGACACAGCACCUGAAAACAACAAACAUAAAUGCAAGAGAAAGAUGGUCCUCACUAUCAUCACAGGCUUGCCAGGCAGUCAUAAGGAGAAUCUUUGUGAUUUCUUGAUGGAAGUUAAUCAAAAUCGCGCCAGGUGAGAGAACAAUCAAGAUGCCAUGAACUAUAACCGUAAUCAUUAUAACUAUAGUGUUGGGUUACAUUUUAGAUUGGAUGUGGCAGAUUCCUAGUGAGUGAUAUUUCUGACUUUCUACCAUAAUGAUU
ensembl:lncRNA